rnacentral:rRNA from 1 species
UGUGACCUCAAAUCAGGUAGGACUACCCGCUGAACUUAAGCAUAUCAAUAAGCGGAGGAAAAGAAACUAACAAGGAUUCCCCUAGUAACUGCGAGUGAAGCGGGAAAAGCUCAAAUUUAAAAUCUGGCGGUCUUUUGGCUGUCCGAGUUGUAAUCUAGAGAAGUGUUAUCCGCGCUGGACCGUGUACAAGUCUCCUGGAAUGGAGCAUCAUAGAGGGUGAGAAUCCCGUCUUUGACAUGGACUGCCAGGGCUUUGUGAUGCGCUCUCAAAGAGUCGAGUUGUUUGGGAAUGCAGCUCAAAAUGGGUGGUAAAUUCCAUCUAAAGCUAAAUAUUGGCGAGAGACCGAUAGCGAACAAGUACCGUGAGGGAAAGAUGAAAAGAACUUUGGAAAGAGAGUUAAACAGUACGUGAAAUUGCUGAAAGGGAAACGCUUGAAGUCAGUCGCGUCGUCCAGGGAUCAACCUUGCUUUUGCCUGGUGCACUUCCUGGUUUGACGGGUCAGCAUCAAUUUUGACCAUUGGAAAAAGGCUUAGGGAAUGUGGCAUCUUCGGAUGUGUUAUAGCCCUGGGUCACAUACAAUGGUUGGGAUUGAGGAACUCAGCACGCCGCAAGGCCGGG